UGCUUUUCUAUUACCACUUCACUUUUGGAAACUAAUGAAUGUGGUAUAAAAAAGCAUAAAUUAAUGCUUUGGAGACUUUUAAUACCCUUAAAUUUUGUAUCUUUGGUGUAAUUUUGUAUCUUCCUUCUUUGCAUAAGGAAGAGCU
ensembl:snoRNA